rnacentral:rRNA from 1 species
GAGUGAACGCUGGCGGUAGGCCUAACACAUGCAAGUCGAACGGCAGCACAGUAAGAGCUUGCUCUUACGGGUGGCGAGUGGCGGACGGGUGAGGAAUACAUCGGAAUCUACUUUUUCGUGGGGGAUAACGGAGGGAAACUUACGCUAAUACCGCAUACGACCUACGGGUGAAAGCAGGGGAUCUUCGGACCUUGCGCGAUUGAAUGAGCCGAUGUCGGAUUAGCUAGUUGGCGGGGUAAAGGCCCACCAAGGCGACGAUCCGUAGCUGGUCUGAGAGGAUGAUCAGCCACACUGGAACUGAGACACGGUCCAGACUCCUACGGGAGGCAGCAGUGGGGAAUAUUGGACAAUGGGCGCAAGCCUGAUCCAGCCAUACCGCGUGGGUGAAGAAGGCCUUCGGGUUGUAAAGCCCUUUUGUCGGGAAAGAAAAGCAGCAGGUUAAUACCCCGCUGUUCUGACGGUACCCAAAGAAUAAGCACCGGCUAACUUCGUG